GGGCAAUGGGGGCAGCUACACAUGCAGUCGAACGGUAGCACAGAGAGCUUGCUCUCGGGUGACGAGUGGCGGACGGGUGAGUAAUGUCUGGGAAACUGCCUGAUGGAGGGGGAUAACUACUGGAAACGGUGGCUAAUACCGCACAACGUCGCACGACCAAAGAGGGGGACCUUCGGGCCUCUCGCCAUCACAUGUGCCCAGAUAGGAUUAGCUUGUUGGUGAGGUAACGGCUCACCAAGGCGACAAUACCUAGCUGGUCUGAGAGGAUGACCAGCCACACUGGAACUGAGACACGGUCCACACUCCUACAGGAGGCAGCAGUGGGGAAUAUUGCACAAUGGGCGCAAGCCUGAUGCACCCAUGCCGCGUGUAUAAAAAAAGCCUUCGGGUUGUAAAGUACUUUCAGCGGGGAGGAAAGUGUUGUGGGUAAUAACCGCAGCAAUUGACGUUACCCGCACAAAAAACACCGGCUAACUCCGUGCCAGCAGCCGCGGUAAUACAGAGGGUGCAAGCGUUAAUCGCAAUUACUGGGCGUAAAGCGCACGCACGCGGUCUGUCAAGUCGGAUGUGAAAUCCCCGGGCUCAACCUGGGAACUGUAUUCUAAACUGUCAGGCUUGAGUCUUGUAUAGAGGGGUAGAAUUCCAGGUGUAGCGGUGAAAUGCGUAUAGAUCUGGAGGAAUACCGGUGGCGAAAGCGGCCCCCUGGACAAAGACUGACACUCAGGUGCGAAAGCGUGGGGAGCAAACAGGAUUAGAUACCCUGGUAGUCCACGCCGUAUACGAUGUCUACAUGUAGGUUGUGCCCUUGAGGCGUGGCUUCCGGAGCUAACGCGUUAAGUAUACCGCCUGGGGAGUACAGCCGCAAGGUUAAAACUCACAUGAAUUGACAGGGGCCCGCACAAGCGGUGGAGCAUGUGGUUUAAUUCUAUGCAACGCGAAGAACCUUACCUGGUCUUGACAUCCACAGAAAAUACACAAGAAUGGAUAUGUGCCUUCUGGAACUGUGAGACACGUGCUGCAUGGCUGUCGUCACCUCUCGUUGUUGAAAAUGUUGGGGUUAAGUCCCGCAACGAGAGCAACCCUUAUUCUUUGUUGCCACCGGGUAGGCCGGGACUCUAAGAGAUGCCCUGUAAAUGGGGAAAGGGGGGGGGAAAAAACCCAAUCUCAUGGGCCUUUAACAAGGGGUACCCCCGGUUCAAUGGGCCAACAAAAAAAAAACCCCCGAAAAAAGGACCCCAAAAGGGGCCGU
rnacentral:rRNA from 1 species